UACGUGGGACCGAGCGUUGUUCGGAAUCAGUUGGCGUAAAGAGCGUUUAGGCGGCUAUUUCAGUCCUGCGUGAAAUCCUGCGGCUCAACCGCAGACGGUCGUGGGAAACUGGAUGGCUAGAGUGCGGGAGAGGAGAGUGGAAUUCCCGGUGUAGCGGUGAAAUGCGCAGAUAUCGGGAAGAACACCCGUGGCGAAGGCGGCUCUCUGGAACGCAACUGACGCUGAGACGCGAAAGCGUGGGGAGCAAACAGG
rnacentral:rRNA from 1 species